AAAUUGAAGAGUUUGAUCAUGGCUCAGAUUGAACGCUGGCGGCAGGCCUAACACAUGCAAGUCGAACGGUAACAGGAAGCAGCUUGCUGCUUUGCUGACGAGUGGCGGACGGGUGAGUAAUGUCUGGGAAACUGCCUGAUGGAGGGGGAUAACUACUGGAAACGGUAGCUAAUACCGCAUAACGUCGCAAGACCAAAGAGGGGGACCUUCGGGCCUCUUGCCAUCGGAUGUGCCCAGAUGGGAUUAGCUUGUUGGUGGGGUAACGGCUCACCAAGGCGACGAUCCCUAGCUGGUCUGAGAGGAUGACCAGCCACACUGGAACUGAGACACGGUCCAGACUCCUACGGGAGGCAGCAGUGGGGAAUAUUGCACAAUGGGCGCAAGCCUGAUGCAGCCAUGCCGCGUGUAUGAAGAAGGCCUUCGGGUUGUAAAGUACUUUCAGCGGGGAGGAAGGGAGUAAAGUUAAUACCUUUACUCAUUGACGUUACCCGCAGAAGAAGCACCGGCUAACUCCGUGCCAGCAGCCGCGGUAAUACGGAGGGUGCAAGCGUUAAUCGGAAUUACUGGGCGUAAAGCGCACGCAGGCGGUUUGUUAAGUCAGAUGUGAAAUCCCCGGGCUCAACCUGGGAACUGCAUCUGAUACUGGCAAGCUUGAGUCUCGUAGAGGGGGGUAGAAUUCCAGGUGUAGCGGUGAAAUGCGUAGAGAUCUGGAGGAAUACCGGUGGCGAAGGCGGCCCCCUGGACGAAGACUGACGCUCAGGUGCGAAAGCGUGGGGAGCAAACAGGAUUAGAUACCCUGGUAGUCCACGCCGUAAACGAUGUCGACUUGGAGGUUGUGCCCUUGAGGCGUGGCUUCCGGAGCUAACGCGUUAAGUCGACCGCCUGGGGAGUACGGCCGCAAGGUUAAAACUCAAAUGAAUUGACGGGGGCCCGCACAAGCGGUGGAGCAUGUGGUUUAAUUCGAUGCAACGCGAAGAACCUUACCUGGUCUUGACAUCCACAGAACUUUCCAGAGAUGGAUUGGUGCCUUCGGGAACUGUGAGACAGGUGCUGCAUGGCUGUCGUCAGCUCGUGUUGUGAAAUGUUGGGUUAAGUCCCGCAACGAGCGCAACCCUUAUCCUUUGUUGCCAGCGGUCCGGCCGGGAACUCAAAGGAGACUGCCAGUGAUAAACUGGAGGAAGGUGGGGAUGACGUCAAGUCAUCAUGGCCCUUACGACCAGGGCUACACACGUGCUACAAUGGCGCAUACAAAGAGAAGCGACCUCGCGAGAGCAAGCGGACCUCAUAAAGUGCGUCGUAGUCCGGAUUGGAGUCUGCAACUCGACUCCAUGAAGUCGGAAUCGCUAGUAAUCGUGGAUCAGAAUGCCACGGUGAAUACGUUCCCGGGCCUUGUACACACCGCCCGUCACACCAUGGGAGUGGGUUGCAAAAGAAGUAGGUAGCUUAACCUUCGGGAGGGCGCUUACCACUUUGUGAUUCAUGACUGGGGUGAAGUCGUAACAAGGUAACCGUAGGGGAACCUGCGGUUGGAUCACCUCCUUA
rnacentral:rRNA from 1 species